rnacentral:rRNA from 1 species
AACGAACGCUGGCGGCGUGCUUAACACAUGCAAGUCGAACGGAACGGCCGGGCUUUGGUGCGGUGCGCGGGUUGAGACCGGGGGAGUAACACGUGAGUAACCUGCACUUGACUUUGGGAGAAGUUCAGGAAGCUGGGUCUAAUACCGGAUAGGAGCUCCUGCUGCAGGGUGGGGGUUGGAUAGUUUCGGCGGUUGGGGAUGGACUCGCGGCUUAUCAGCUUGUUGGUUGGGUAGUGGCUUACCAAGACUUGGACGGGUAGCCGGGCUGAGAGGGUGACAGGACACAUCGCGCCUGGGAUGCGACCCAGACCCCAACGGGACGCAGCAGUGGGGAAUAUUGCACAAUGGGAGGAAGCCUGAUGCAGCACAGCCGCGUGCGGGAUGACGGGCAGCGGGUUGUAUACCGCUUCCGCCUGUGACGAAGCGUUAGUGACGGUAAUGGGUAAAGAAGCACCGGCUAACUACGUG